CCUUGCUGUAGCUUGACAUAUGGUCUAAAUCCAACUAUCAAGUUUUUCAAAAGGUGACAGAUCAUGCGACUACUGCUCUAUUGCACUACCAGCUGCCUCAAAUGCCAGAUGUGGUAGUCAGAUCUUUCAUGACCUGGUUAAGAAGUUACAUAAAGCUGUUCCAGGCUCCAUGCCAGCGCUGCGGAAAGUUUCUGCAGGAUGGCCUGCCACCCACAUGGAGGGAUUUCCGAACACUUGAAGCUUUUCAUGACACUUGCAGGCAAUAGUAGCCCAGCUCAGCCGUUGAUACGCUGGGAGCGAACAAUCUGCCAGGCUCGGAAGAGAGCUGGUGGUUUAAUAGGUGGUUCCAUUCCUGAACCUUUCAUCCUGUACUAAGUAGUGAGGUUGCACUAAUACAUUUGCCUAUUUAAAAGCCAUCAGUCUGCAAGGUACAUGUGAGACCAUUGUAUUUUGAAGAAGAUGGUAAGAAGCUGUGUGUGAUCACUUGAUGCUUCUGAGCUGAAAUGAUACGUCUGGGGAGAUCUGACAGUAAUAAUUAUUAUUCCAAACCUUAAUGAAAAUAUCUGUGUACAGUCUGCAUUUUGUGACAGAAUUUACAUCGU